rnacentral:rRNA from 1 species
ACCAUGCCGCGUGAGUGAUGAAGGGCUUAGGGUUGUAAAGCUCUUUUAUCCGGGACGAUAAUGACGGUACCGGAGGAAUAAGCCCCGGCUAACUUCGUGCCAGCAGCCGCGGUAAUACGAAGGGGGCUAGCGUUGCUCGGAAUCACUGGGCGUAAAGGGCGCGUAGGCGGCGUUUUAAGUCGGGGGUGAAAGCCUGUGGCUCAACCACAGAAUUGCCUUCGAUACUGGGACGCUUGAGUAUGGUAGAGGUUGGUGGAACUGCGAGUGUAGAGGUGAAAUUCGUAGAUAUUCGCAAGAACACCGGUGGCGAAGGCGGCCAACUGGACCAUUACUGACGCUGAGGCGCGAAAGCGUGGGGAGCAAACAGGAUUAGAUACCCUGGUAGUC